AGGUUCUGUCAUGCACUCGGACC
rnacentral:miRNA from 13 species